UCCAUCGCCCACAAGCGAUUUACAUGGUCGUAUUUCUUCUUCGCUGCAAAUCAACCGGCGCCCAGUUUUUCUCAUCACCUAGCUAUCCACCGUCUCUUCCUACCUCACGUCAGCUUGCUAGCACCACUAGAAACUAGUAUCAAUUGCUAUUUCAGCUCGGCGUCUCCCGCAAUCUUGAUCCAUUCCAUCCGAUUCUACGCUGAUCGGCGGGGCGAAGAACACACACAGAUUCUUGUGAACAUUGAUGCGUGCAAUCGAUCUGAUUGCUAAAGACGAAGACCAGCAGAAAUCUCAAGGCUUUCCUCCAGGCGGCCACGCCCUUGCUCCCAUGGCGCUCCGCCACCAUGGAACGCUUCCAGGGCGCGCCCAGCAGCGUGUGGCAACAGCCAGACAGCAAGAACAAGGACGCGGUGGAGUACUACGCCGAGAGCAGCUCCUACGGCCUCGCUGUGCCCGUCCGGGACGCCGGUGACGGCGCCAACCAGGUACGGUUUCAGGGAAGGUGCUGCAAGUCGAGGGGGUUACACCGGUGGCGACGGAUAGCCUUGGCGCUGGUACACCGGGCAAGGCACCAAUUGUGAAGAGAAGGAGACGAGGGGAAGGAGAAGGAGAUGCCGACGUUGAUGAUGUUAUGAGUGAGGCGGCCAAAAUCGAUGAGAAAUUUGUUUGGGAAAUGUCGCGGGAUUGGCGAACCCACAACGAGUGUGCUACGGGAUCUCAUCAGAGCAUGCGUGCCGUCGGUGGUUUGUAUCGUUUGGAAACACAAGUAUAUCAAGACAAAGAGUGGUCACCGUAAAAAAAAGACAAAGAGUGGAAGGCCUGACAAUAUUGUUAGGUUUCGAUGGUGGACUUGCAGUAGCUAGUAGCGGAGGAAGUGGUGGACUGGCAGUUUUCUAGAGGGACAAUAUAAAUUUGCGAGUUAAAAACUUUUCCACGUAUCAUAUUAGGGUGUGACUAGGUCUCAGUCGGCUGAGAUUUAACCAAGUCACAAUCAAGUGGCAUAACAUGCAAGAGAGAAAGAAAAAAACUAAUUUUUUUGCAUGAA